rnacentral:rRNA from 1 species
UACGGGAGGCAGCAGUGGGGAAUAUUGCACAAUGGGCGAAAGCCUGAUGCAGCUAUGCCGCGUGUAUGAAGAAGGCCUUAGGGUUGUAAAGUACUUUCAUCGGGGAGGAAAAACAAAACUAAUAAUUUUAUUUCUUGACGUUACCCGAAAAAGAAGCACCGGCUAACUCCGUGCCAGCAGCCGCGGUAAUACGGAGGGUGCUAGCGUUAAUCAGAAUUACUGGGCGUAAAGAGCACGUAGGUGGUUUUUUUAAGUCAGAUGUGAAUCCCUGGGCUUAACCUAGGAACUGCAUUUUGAAACUGAAAUACUAGAGUAUCGUAGAGGGAGGUAGAAUUCUAGGUGUAGCGGUGAAAUGCGUAGAUAUCUGGAGGAAUACCUGUGGCGAAAGCGGCCUCCUAAACGAAUACUGACACUGAGGUGCGAAAGCGUGGGGAGCGAAACAGGGAUUAGAUACC